AACCCCAGGACAGUGCAUGCUGGCAAAGGGUGCAUGACAGGGGCGGGACAAAGCUGCCUGGCAGGGGAUUAGUAGGGGGUUAGUGACAUAGUUGGGGGGUGGAGUUAUAAGGGGAUGUAUAGCACUAACUGCUAAGGAGGGCAUCCAUUUUGGAAGGAGAAAAGGAGUAGUAAGGUAGCAAGGCAGAGAGUGUAGGAUUACCUGAGAUGGCAGCACUAAAGGAGCUCCUGGCGAGGAUCAGAGCUCAGGCAAGUGAGCAGGGGGAUGAUUGGGUCCGGCAGCAGCUUGCAGCGCAACCCGCGCCCACAGCCCGACAGGCAGCCAGCAGGAGGAGAACACGGCCCCCUGAAAGAUUGAGCCCAGCAGUGAGCAGCAGGUCGAGUCAGAGAAGACGGAUGAGGAGCCCCUCCCCCCCAGUCGCAGGUCCGGGAAGCAGUGUGGGAGCGUCGGCUGCUGACAGGAGAGGCACGGGUAAGAAGCAGCAAGGGGGGAGGAUGCCGUGCAGAGGCCAGGGAGCAGGACGGAGGAGCAGAGCAGGGAUGCGGCUGGGAGCAGGCAGUCAAGAUGGCGCCGAUCGCAGUCCGGUUGUAAGAGGCGGGGCCACAGCAGGGAGCAGUCCGGGUCGCAGCAGGAGGGAGUCGGCAGCCAGGAGGGGAAGCAGCAGCUCGAGAGGGGAGACAACACAGGCAGGGCAGAGGCAGACGGACCGCAGAAGCACUGACAGGGAGAGUGAGAGGAGACAGAGGGAGCCUGCAGCACAGCGUGGAGGACAUGGGGGAAGGGCAGCCACUUCAGGAACGGACCUUGCUGGGGAGCCAGGAGGGAGUUCGCGCGUGAGUAUGGCAGCACCCCCGGCUGGGGGCGACAGGGAUGGGGGGGGUUUUUCACGUUGUUUGUCUCCACAGGGUGCGGCGCAACGGAGCGGUGGACCCCAGCAGGGACGCGAGGGAUCUACUUCCAGGCACAGAGAAGAGGAUAGAGGCGCGGCCAGCUCGGUAACGGGCUGUGCUGGGGGGAGAGGGGGGCCCCCACCAGCGAAUAUGGGGGCGCCCUCUGUUGGGGGUUGCUGGGCCGGGGGGGUUUCCUCUCUCCUGUUGCCUCUACAGGGAUCAUCAGGACAAGACUGGAGCAGCGGUCUGGGUACAGCAGGAGAAGCGCCAGGCACAUCAGACGGGUCAUCAGGACACAGAGCAACAGCCACCACAGACAGCAUCAUGGAAGCACUCCGAACAGCACCGGCCUCCGGGCCCAGUGGUGAGAAUGACUUUGCUGGGUUUAUGAAGGGAAUGCAGGAGCUAUGGGCAAAAUGGGGGGGAGGGAACACACCAAACACCCCCCCCUCAGCACCGGCAGUGCAGGUCCCGACAGGGGCAAGGCCCAUAGGGGAACUACCCACAGUUGCAUCAGGGGGAAUGCCCCUGACGGCAGGGGGGAGCACCGGGGUGGUAGAGUCAGGUACACCGCCAGCCACGGGGGGGUCGGAGCGUAAGGAGGGAGAGGCCCCCAAAAAGGACGAGGCGGCUAAGCCACUACCGAUAUCAGACGCGGCAAAGGGCAACACAUAUGUGUGCUUUGAAGGCCCCCUGGGAGCUCACCUAAAACCUGAGACGAGGGAAAAAAUUUGGAAGAAGGAAUACAUUGACAUCUUCACAUUACUUCCCCUUGAAAGAUUUAACAUAGAAAAAUGGGAAAAAGGGAAAGAGCACCGUAAGGAGGAGGAUGAGGAUAGGAGGAGAUACAGGCUGAUCCCCAGAACAUUUGGGAAUUGGCUGCAGGCAUUUGCUAUUCUGGGUAGCGUUAUAGGGGAAAAGUCACCUGAGAGUUGUUCGGGUCUGUUUUGUUACCUGGACACGAUUUGGGAAGCGCAUAGGGUCUACGGGGGAACCGCAUGGCUUAAAUAUGACGAGCAGUUUCGUCAGCGCAUGUCGGUGUGGCAGUCCUUAAAGUGGGACCACAGGGACAUAGCCCUGUGGCUGAGGCUGAUGACGGCUCAGAAAGCCCAGCAUACUCCAGCUUUUUCUAGUCUAGGUCAGAAUCCCUUUCCAGCAGGCGCCGGCGGGCCCACCAGUGCGGGAUCGCCGGCUACCCCGAAAAAGGGAGUGUGCUGGCAAUAUAAUGAAAGUCAGUGCAAAUGGGGGGGGAAUUGCAAGUUCAAGCAUGAAUGCUCCGGUUGUGGGGGGGCCAAUCACCCUGUCACUAGAUGUUAUAAAAGACAAAGGCCAGGAGGCGCAAAGCCAGGAGAGGGUUUUGGAAAAAGGGAGGAGUCCAGUCAGGGUAAAUGAGAUGUCACCCUGGCUGGCAAUAUACCCUGAUAGAAAGAAGGCCGAGUUAAUCAGGGAGGGGUUUUUGGUUGGGUUUUGUAUUCCAUUUCAGAGUGGGGCGGGGGGGCAAGAUUGCAGGAAUUUGAGAUCAGCUUCGGAGCACCCGGAGGUAAUUAGGAAAAAAUUGGCUACAGAGGUAGAAUUGGGCAGAAUGGCCGGACCAUUUAUGGUUCCACCCGUGCCAAACCUGCGCCUGUCACCGCUAGGCGUGGUGCCCAAAAAGGAGGCAGGCAAAUUUCGCCUGAUACAUCAUCUGUCUCAUCCACAUGGCUCCUCAGUCAACGAUGGGAUAGAUGAGGAGACGGCUCAUGUAACAUACACCUCCUUUGAUGUGGCAGUGCGCCUGGUGAGGACCUGCGGCCGGGGUGCCCUUAUGGCGAAGGUCGACAUCGAGUCGGCCUUUCGUCUCUUGCCAGUACACCCAGAUUGCCAGCAUUUGCUAGGGUGUAAAUUUGAGGGCAAGAUUUAUAUGGAUAGAUGUGUACCAAUGGGCUGCUCUAUUUCGUGUGCCCAUUUCGAAGCUUUCAGCUCCUUUUUGGAGUGGGUGGUGAGGUUAGAAACUGGAUCCAGGGCAGUCAUUCACUACCUGGACGAUUUUCUAUGUGUUGGCAAGCCGGGGACGGAGGAGUGUAGGAUUAUACUUCAGGUCCUACUAUCAGUGUUUCGCAGGUUUGGAGUUCCCGUGGCUAUGGAAAAAACAGAAGGCCCCUCACGCAUCCUCAAAUUCCUGGGGAUUGAGAUUGAUUCAGACAAAAUGCAGUGCAGACUACCCCAAGAAAAGAUUGUAGAUUUAAAGCUAGUGCUAAAUUUCGCAUUACAGCAAAAGAAGGUGACACUUAGGCAACUGCAAUCACUCCUGGGGAAAUUAAAUUUCGCUUGCCGCAUAAUGCCCAUGGGGAGGGUUUUUUGCCGGAGGCUAGCCCAAGCUACAGCAGGGGUGGAGAAGCCGCACCACUUUGUGCGGCUGAAUAAACAACACAAGGCAGACCUGGUAGUGUGGCAGAGGUUUCUGGAUAAGUACAAUGGAUGUUCAUUUUGGCUAGGGGACAGUCAGGACAACGGGGAGUUGGAAUUGUUUACAGACGCAGCCGGUGCGUUCGGUUUUGGUGCCUUCUUUCAAGGACAAUGGUGCAUGGGGGAGUGGCCACGGGAGUGGCAGGAAGGGCAGCUUAUAAAGAACUUAGCGUGCCUGGAGCUAUUCCCAAUCGUGUUGGCAGUAGUGGUGUGGGGGAAGGAGCUGGCUAAUAAAGCGGUCAAUUUCCACUCGGACAACAUGUCAGUGGUUUCGGCUAUUAACAAUUUAUCUGCCUCCUCCCCACCAGUGGUCAACCUGUUAAGGGUGUUGGUACUCAAAUGUCUAGAUCAGAAUAUUUGGUUCAGGGCCACACAUGUGCCAGGAGUUACGAAUGAUAUAGCCGAUGCUAUCUCUCGUUUUCAGCUGGAACGGUUCAGGCAGUUGGCUCCGAGGGCAGCCGAGGCCCCCACCCCUUUCCCAGACUUCCUAUGGAGGAUCCCGUUCGAUACCUGGCAGGUUCAAGGCGAUGUAUGGUGUGGGUAAUGGGACAUUCCUACAUUUUUUGGGCGGAACAACGUGCAGGGUUACGUGAAAAGGGUAGGCGGUUCUGGCUCCCAGCGGAUGCAGUGGAAGUGCAAUGGCAUGGGAAAAGAGGUUUGUCAUGGUUGCAGAUCAGGGCCUGGAUAGAGGACAAGUUCCGUCAAGAGGGCCCCCCAGAUGUUUUAGUGUUACACGCAGGGGGCAACGAUGUGGGCAAGAUCCCAAUGAGGGACCUCAUUGGGAGGAUGAAGCAGGAUUUGGUAAGAAUCCGGGCUAUGGCCCCUAGACUAGUGGUGAUAUGGUCCCAGAUAGUCCCCAGGUUGGUGUGGAGGGGGGCUAGAGACCUAAAAGCGGUGCAGAGGACAAGGGCAAAAAUUAAUGCAGCUAUGACGAAGUUUGUGCAUAAGGCGGGAGGAAUAGUAGUUAGGCAUGUAAUGUUGGAAAGAGACCCCAAGUAUUACAGACCUGACGGGGUACACUUGAACGGCCUGGGCCUCGAGGUUUUUAACUAUGGCCUUAGAGAAGGGGUGGAGGUGGCCAUUCAGGUGUGGAGGGGUAUGAGGGAUUGAAGGUGUGCAAGUCCCUCAUACUGUGGCGGGUCCCUGGCAAUGGGGAGAGUUAAUUAAGUGGAGUUUUACCAAGUUGGUUAAUAGAACUUGGUUGGUGGUGUUCCUCUCUAAGAGCGGUGGUCUCUGGGAGGGUAUGUUGUAUUGGGGGUAGCAUGCAGUCCUGCGUACCCAUCAUGCUAGAAGGCACAAGCGGCUGGUGGUUUAACGAUUGCAUGUACCUAAUUGGGUCCAUUGCCAGGGGCCUUGCAGAGGAUAAAAUGUUAAUGGUAUUUCACUGUCAUAUUUGUAUGUUUAUAAUGUUGUUAAUAUAACAGUUAUUGAUAUAUGUGUUAUCUAUUGUUAAAUGAUCUGUUGUGCAAUAAAGCUGUGGACAUAAAGACUCCAACAAAUAAA